UUAAUGAAAUAUAUCCCUCAGUUUUUUAGUUUUUUUUAAUUUGCCCUCUGUUUUCCAUUUUAUCCUCAAUGAAAGUAAAAAAUUACUCUACUUUCCUUUCUUCAUUCCUUCAGUCCGAGAAAUCCAGAGUCUUUAGUUUCUGCACUUUGCCUUUUUAUUUUUCUUCAUCCCCCAGAAAACCCACAUACAAUCUCAUUAAGAAAAAAAAAAUUCAUGCUCCAUCUCCUUGCAUCUCUUACCUCUUCUCUUGCAAACAUAUGAAAGACUAAGGAAAAAUUGCGUUUGAGGUGAGCGGUAGUUGUGCAGAGGAGCUUUACUUGUAAAGUUUGCAGCAUCAAAUAGAAAGUGAUCUUAUGCCAAAUGCCCGAUGUGACCAAAGUGAUUCUUAAUGGCGAAUUAUAUAAGUAAACUUUUUUUUUUUUAUAACAAUUAGUUAAUAUUUAAAAAAGAUGUUAUACCUGCUAUAUGGACCAUGAGAUAACUAUCUAUGUUGUUUAGUUUGCCCUAAUUUCUUUUUGUUUAGUUUUUAGCCAAGGUUGGAAUUUCUUAGGCUUGGCUGGUGGAACAUUAUUAAUUUUCAAGUUGAUUACAAAUAUGCAGUUGGGGAUAGGAUAGGUGAACUGUCUUAUACUUACUCCUAUUUUAUGAAUUUGAGGUUGGUUGCCGAGAUGUGGUAUUAGUUUGCUUGUGGUUUUGUAUUAUAGGCUAAUGGCACUCAAGACUUCCAUGAUAAACUGAUAUUUACAGAUUGAGAAACCCAUACUAUUGGUUACAAUUCCAAAAAUGUGCUUGAAAAUGCCCUAGGUCAGGUGCAUAUCGUUAUCCUUAUGCACUUGGUUAUGAGGUUGAUGCAGUGUCCCUCCUUAACAUAUUGAAGUUGUGGGUUUAUUUUAUUUUAUUUUUUUUUGUCUAUAAGUAAUAAUCGCUGCCCCCACACCCUUUCUGUGAAUUUCAUGUAACAAUUGGUGUAUUACUAAAGUGGAUAUCACGAUGGUCUCAUAGCAAGAGAAGAAGCUGUAGCGCAAGAGGGAUUUAAUAUUGGCUUUAAGGAAUCAGUCCUUGUUGGGUACAAAUGGGGUCUAGUUAGAGGUGAUACCAGUGGCGAGGGAUUGGAAUGAGCUAGGGAUGACAAACUGUGGAAAUGAGACAAAACUCCUAAGUGGAUCAGUCUAUCAAGGCGAAUUGCCCAAGGAAUUAUAUGUGGUGAAAGAUGUAUUAACUGGAAUGAGAAAACAUGUUCAUCUGCUGGACAUAACAACUCUAUCACAACUCAGAAAAGAUGCACAUCUUAGCUUUUAUAAUGGCUUUAGGCGCAUGGACUGUAACCAUUGGUGUAUUGCUGGACUUCUAGAUACUUGGAAUCAAAUUUUUAUGCAUUUCUCAUAAUUGUUAUGCUUGUUCUGGUAUUUUUAGUUUAUAAAAAUGAUCAUACGGUUGCUUAGGUCCUUCCUUCCAUAGAUCACCAUUUUUAAGGGAAUCAAGUUUCAAAACAUGACCGAUCUUUUCAUUUUCAAUGUCAACCAGAUAUUGAGAGUUAAACAUCAUUAAUGAAACUCUACAAUCUUGGAUAA